GUUUCUGUAGUUGAAUUACAACGGUGGUUUUUCGGAUCGCUGGUCUUGGUAGUACGGGCCAAGUAGAAAUG
rnacentral:tRNA from 1 species